AUGGAAACGCGCAGCCGCAAGCGCGCCGCCGCCAGCACCCCCUCCUCCUCCUCCUCCUCCUCCAAGCGCGCCCGCACCGCCCCCCGCCCCGCACCGCCCGCGAUGGACCCGUCCCCGUCCUCCCGCCGCCGGGCGCGCGCCGCGGCGGCAGCCGCGGCCGCCGCAGCGGAGAAAGGCAAGGACUUGGACCCCUCCUCCACCUCCAACCCGGCCCCCCACCACCACCACCACGAGGACGAGGACGAGGACGGCGACGACGACUCUGCCGCCGCCCCCUUCCCGCCCUCCUUCACCUCCGCCAGCACCGCCCUCCAGGGCCUCCUACGCAGGCUGGGCGCCGGGCUGGACGACCUGCUCCCGGGCUCCGCGGCGGCGGCCGCGGCCUCCUCCACCAUCUCCGCGCAGCUCAAGCGGAUCCUGGCCGGGCUGCAGGCCGAGGGCGACGAGUCGCGCCAGCUCGGCUCCCUCAUGCAGCUCUGCGAGAUGCUCUCCAUCGGCACCGAGGACUCGCUGGCCGCCUUCCCCGUCGACGCCUUCGUGCCGCUCCUCGUCGGCCUGCUCCGCGAGGAGGACGGCCCCGGCGCCAGCCCCGAGGUCAUGCUGCUCGCCGCGCGCGCCCUCGCCAACCUCGUCGACGUGCUGCCCUCCGCCUGCUCCUCCGUCGUGCACUAUGGCGCUAUACCGUGCUUCUGCGCCCGGCUCCUCACCAUCGAGUACAUGGACCUCGCCGAGCAGUCUCUGCAAGCUCUUAGGAAGAUUUCCCUCGAGCAUCCUACUGCAUGUUUGAGAGCUGGUGCGCUAAUGGCCGUCCUGUCGUAUCUGGACUUCUUCUCCACUGGUGUUCAGAGAGUUGCACUGUCUACUGCUGCCAAUAUUUGCAGGAAGCUGCCAUCCGAUGCAUCCGAGUUCGUCAUGGAAGCUGUACCGUUGCUCACUAAUCUCCUACACCACCAUGACUCUAAGGUACUAGAGCAUGCUUCUGUUUGUUUAACACGCAUUGCAGAGGCCUUUGCUCACCAUCCUGAGAAGUUGGAUGAGCUGUGCAAUCAUGGGCUGGUUGCGCAAGCUGCUAACUUGGUAUCCAUCAGCAACUCCCCAGGCCAGACAUCGCUCAGCACAUCGACAUAUACGGGUUUAAUCCGUCUUCUCUCAACUUGUGCGAGUGGAUCGCUGUUGGCAGCCAAAACACUUCUUCUUCUUGGCAUUAGUGGCACCAUUAAAGAAAUUCUUUCAGGGUCUGGUUUGGUUGCUGGAACGUCAGUCGCCCCAGCUUUGUCAAGGCCUGCUGAUCAGAUGUUUGAGAUCGUGAGCCUUGCUGAUGAUUUGCUCCCACAUUUGCCUGUGGGGAUAAUUUCUUUACCAACAAACUGUCGUGUAUUUAUUAAAGGCUCUUCUACAAGGAGACCUGCUCCCACCAAACAAGAUGGGGCUGGUUCAACAGAAAAUGAGAGGUCAGGCCAUGAGAGUCUAUUACAGGAGCACCCCGAACUUCUACAACAGUUCGGUAUGGACUUAUUGCCCGUAAUGACACAGGUGUAUGGUUCAAGUGUAAAUGCACCAAUACGUCACAAGUGCUUAUCUAUCAUUGGGAAAUUAAUGUGCUAUAGCUCUGCUGAAAUGAUCCAGACUCUCCUUAGCACGACAAACAUAUCCAGCUUCUUAGCAGGCAUUCUUGCUUGGAAAGAUCCACAAGUGCUGAUUCCUGCUCUUCAGAUAGCAGAAAUUAUGAUGGAAAAACUUCCCGAGACAUUCUCCAAGUUAUUUGUGAGGGAAGGUGUUGUUCAUGCUGUGGAAGCACUUAUAUGUCCGGAAUCCUCAAAUAUGGUGCCUCCUCAGGUACCACCACAGGAUAAGGAUGGCGAUUCUGUUAUGUCCUCACGCCCUAGACGACAGCGUCGUCGUGGGGGUGCUGCACCUACAGAGAACAGUUUGUUAGAUGUGUCAAACGCCUCCAAUUCUGGCAUUGCCAGCGCAUCGCCAUGCUCUACAGAAGUUCCAGUCACCAGUCUCCGUUUUGAAGUUAGCGAUCGUGCGAAGUCGUUCAAAGAUAAAUACUUCCCUUCAGACCAUGGUUCAAGCGACGCUGGAGUCACUGACGACCUUCUUAAGCUGAGAGCACUGUGUGCAAAGUUGAAUACUGCAACUGACAAUGUCAUAACAAAAGCCAAAGGGAAAUCAAAAGCCUUGAGCCCUAGCCAUUUUGACAUCUCACAUGAUGUGGAUGAACAGUUAGACCUGAUAGUAAAUGAAAUGCUUGCUGAGCUAAGCAAAGCUAAUGGUGUCUCCACAUUUGAGUUCAUCAGGAGCGGAGUUAUCACAUCAUUCCUUGACUAUUUGUCAUGUGGGACAUUCGGGAAGGAGAAGGUAUCCGAAGCAAACCUGCCAAAGCUUCGCCAGCAGGCGCUUAGGAGAUACAAGUCCUUCAUAUCUGUUGCCCUUUCUGCCGACCAUGAAAGGGAUGAAACUCCAAUGACUCUCUUGGUCCAAAAACUGCAAAGUGCAUUAUGUUCGUUGGAGCGUUUCCCUGUUGUGCUCAGCCAGUCUAACAGAAUUGGUACUGGCGGCUCCCGUCUGACCUCAGGUCUUGGCGCUCUAGCUCAACCCUUCAAGUUGCGCCUGUGUCGAGCUCAAGGCGAAAAAUCACUUCGGGAUUAUUCAUCAAAUAUUGUACUUAUCGAUCCCUUUGCGAGUCUGGCAGCCGUCGAAGAUUUUCUUUGGCCCAGAGUUCAGCGCGGUGAGGCUGCUUCCAAACCUCCAGUCGCUUCUGCAAAUAAUUCUGAAUCUGGUACACCCGGUGCCGCUGCUGGUGGAUCAUCAACACCUGCAUCAGCCCGGCGUCCAACAACAAGAUCAAAGUCAUCUGCUGCAAGUGCUGGUACAUCUAGUAAGGAGUCUCUAGAGGAAAGCACUAGUAGCGCAAAGGCAAAAGGCAAAGCUGUUGUAAAACCAAGCUCAGCUGAACCAAAAGGACCGAACACAAGGAAUGCUACCCGCAGAAAAUCUGCCUUGGAGAAAGAUUUGGACAUGAAGCAAACACAUGGUGACAGUAGUUCUGAGGAUGAGGAGCUGGACACAUCUCAUAUUGAGCUUGAUGAUGCUUUAAUGAUUGAUGAUGAUGACAUUUCAGAGGAUGAAGAUGAUGAUCAUGAGGUUCUGCAAGAGGGCUCUCUUCCUAUUUGUGUUCAAGAUGGGGUGCAUGAUGUGAAGUUGGGUGACGCUGAUGACUCCAAUGUUGGUUCAGCAAGUGAUAGCCAGGCGCAGCCAUCAUCUGGUUCUGGUUCCAGUGCUAGAAACAUUAUGGGCAGGGGAGUAAAUGCUGCUGAAUUUCGAACUGCAGGUGCCUUUGGAUCGCAAGGGGCAAUGUCAUUUGUUGCUGCGACAAUGGCUGGGCUGACUUCUGGUGGUGGUCGCGGUGUUAGAGGUGGUCGUGAUCGGCGUGGCCUGUCACUUGGAGGCAGCAUGAGUGAGCACAACAAACUGAUAUUCAUGGCUGGCGGGAAGCAGCUUAGCAAAAAUUUGACCGUAUAUCAAGCAAUCCAACGUCAACUGAUGCUCGACGAGGAUGAUGAAGAAAGGUUCAACGGGUCUGACCUACCAAACGAUGGAAACCGAUUCUGGGGUGACGUGUUCACGAUAACUUACCAGAAGGCUGAUAGCCAGGCUGAGAAGGGAUCCCAAGGUAGUUCUGCCUCAUUGCAUCAAAAGUCAGAAUCAGGCAGAUCUGUUUCUGAAGCACACAAGGUUUCUCUUCUUGAUAGCAUCUUACAAGGGGAACUUCCAUGUGAUUUGGAGAAAACAAACUCAACUUACAGCAUUUUAGCGUUGUUACGUGUAUUAGAGGGGCUGAAUCAGCUAUCCCCUCGUUUAAGAGCGCAGACAGCAUCUGAUGAUUUUGCUGAGGGGAAAAUCGCUACUCUGGAUGAGCUAUAUGAAGCUGGAACCAAGGUGCCUUCAGAAGAGUUCGUCAACAGUAAGUUGACACCGAAGCUUACUCGGCAAAUGCAGGAUGUUCUUGCACUCUGCAGCGGCAGUUUACCUUCUUGGUGUAAUCAGAUCACUAAAGCCUGUCCCUUUCUGUUCCCCUUCGAAACGAGGAGGCAGUACUUCCAUUCCACAGCUUUUGGGUUGUCCCGGGCGUUGAAUCGACUUCAGCAGCAACAGGGUGAUAAUCCCAACACUGGCAGCGAAAGAGAGGUCCGAUUUGGCAGGCUUCAACGCCAGAAGGUCCGUGUUUCCCGUAACCGCAUUCUGGAUUCUGCCGCCAAAGUUAUGGAGAUGUUCUCUAGUCAGAGAGCUGUUCUUGAGGUGGAAUACUUUGGUGAGGUUGGGACAGGGCUGGGUCCUACGUUGGAGUUCUAUACUCUCCUGGGCCAUGAACUGCAGAAUGCUCGGUUGGGAUUAUGGAGAUCUAGUUCGCCUUACGAUUAUUCAGAAAUGGAAAUCGAUAAGAAUGGUGUGAUCCAUGUGGAUUCUGACGAUGAUUUGCCAGCUCCUCAAGAACUCAACUCAUCCGAAGAUGCCCGGAAUCUGGUACAAGCUCCUCUUGGAUUAUUUCCUCGCCCUUGGCCAUCUAAUGUUGAUACCUCGGAGGGUAGCAGAUUCUUCAAAGUCGUAGAAUAUUUCCGCUUGGUCGGUCGAGUCGUGGCGAAAGUCUUGCAGGAUGGAAGGCUCUUAGAUUUGCCUUUGUCAACAGCAUUUUAUAAGCUCAUACUUGGACAGGAGCUUGAUUUAUUCGACAUUAUCUCGUUUGAUGCUGAGCUUGGAAAGACACUGCAAGAACUGCAAGUUCUUGUUGAGCGUAGGAGGUUCCUUGAGUCCACUUGUGGCAAGGAUCAGCUAGAAGUUGCAGACUUGCGUUUCCGUGGAGCUCCUAUCGAGGACUUGUGUUUAGAUUUUACUCUUCCAGGUUUUCCUGAUUAUAUUCUCAAAGAAGGCGAGCAAAACACAAUUGUUAAUAUCCACAACCUAGAGGAGUAUGUUUCUUUGGUAGUCGAUGCGACAGUGAAGUCAGGGAUUAUGAAGCAGGUUGAAGCUUUCAGAUCAGGUUUUAGCCAGGUCUUUGAUAUCUCAUCCCUCCAAAUAUUUUCACCUCAAGAGCUUGACUAUCUAAUAUGUGGUCGUCAAGAAAUAUGGGAGGCUGAAUCACUGGUGGAUAACAUCAAAUUUGAUCAUGGGUUUACUGCUAAAAGUCCUGCCAUUAUAAAUCUACUCGAGAUCAUGGCGGAAUUUACCCCUGAUCAGCAGCAUGCAUUCUGCCAGUUUGUAACUGGUGCUUCUCGGCUUCCAACUGGUGGUUUGGCUGCCCUUAGUCCCAAGCUUACCAUAGUUCGAAAGCACCCCUCGAGUGGGGUGAGUACUUUGAAUACAAGCGGGGUAACAGACGCUGCGGAUGACGAUUUGCCCAGUGUCAUGACAUGUGCCAAUUAUCUCAAACUACCCCCAUAUUCCACAAAAGAAGUCAUGCGCAAGAAGCUGCUCUACGCCAUCCUAGAAGGCCGUGGAUCUUUUGAUCUAUCCUGA
rnacentral:rRNA from 1 species